rnacentral:misc_RNA from 1 species
GUCACGAAGCAUCCGUUUAAUCGUCUCUCUCGUUUUUACGCGAGAUUGGUGAGAAAAAAAUUGUUAAGCCCGGAAUUGAUGAAGAAACUGUUGUAUCUUCAAUACGUUUAUAAGCCAGAUUUGAGGGGUGUAAAAAUGCGUAAGUGCACGGUGACCUACACGGUUUAUCCGAUAAACAGUAGUUUGACGGAGUCGAGUGAGGAGGAGGGAAUAGGGGAAGCAACGAAAAAUCGUUCGUUAAUGAAGUCAACGUUGUUGCUGGACGUUCGAUAUGAUUUGGAUGAUUUCGGACGUCCGCCACAAGCGAGCUCAACGGCGAGCCUCGGGGGCUCGAAACCACACGAGAAUGCUGUCCACGGUAGUCACGAGACUUGCAGGAGUUUGCCAGAUCUUAAGGGCGCUGAAAUAGCUCAAAAGAACCUUCACAAAUUUCCCGGGAUCGAUGUGCUGCUGCCCCGAAUGAGUUUGAGGGACCAGGACGACGAUCUCGGAAACGAGUCCGACCAAUUCGAGCACUGGAGCGAUGCGAUGAGAAACAGCGAGUUCCUUGGAUCGAUGACUGCUCACGAAGUCGAUCUCCCGCGUAUCGAUCUGUCACCAGGGUGGCGGCAUUCGGGUUCGAUCGAGGUCAACCUCGACUGCGAACCUCGAACUUUCCGUUCGAGAUUAACGUCGAGCAGCAGCAGCACCGUCGCUGAAUACCUCCAGCCCGACGUGGCCGCCAGCCAACAUUCUCUGGACUCGGGGAUGGCCGACAGUUAUCGCUUCAAUUCGUCGGACCUCAAUUCCUGUUACAAAUACUCUCCUCGUCCGGGCCCAACGGAAAAGGCGACAAACGCCGUUUGCCAAAGUGACAGCGAAAGCGACGAGCGCAACUUCGAGCACCAGUGCAUCUGCAGCUCGCCCUUUGGCUCGACCCCGAGGUCGAGCCGUCUGUCCGAAGCGAGCAACAGUUUUAUUCUUCGCGACGAAAUGAUCGUCGGAAGCUCGCUCACUCAGCCGGAAAUUGGCGGAAAUUAUUUAAACCUGCGCGACCACUGGUCCCCGGUUCAAAAAGACGGUGCUCGUCAUAAAAACACCGAGGUCGGCCUCCGCCUCGAACUUUCCUCUGAAAAUGAUCGAGUUUCGUGCCACGUCGCCCGCUCGACGAAAAAAACUCGUCGGCGGGACGAGGGCGACGGCGUUAAAGUCGACGCCAAAAAUUCUGUCGAUCCGACCAAAAGUUCGGACGACUUUCGAUCCAACGUCGCGCAGAAUGACUCCCGAAUAGCGGAAGAACCUCCACAGAAAAACGAGAGCAAAGUUCGCCUCACCCCACCGAGAUUGGUAUUCGACAACGCAAAUCGUAAACGUUCCACUCAGCCGAUACCCGUCGCGCAUCAAAAUUUGUUCAACCGAACCCAUAGACAGCCGCGAUUUGACAACAAAAAAACUACUCAAAUUUGUCGCCUCGAACCACAACCCGAAGCAACAACUUACACUUCCGGAUUGUACGCCCACUGGUGGCUCAAGAAAAACAUACCGGGAAUAUCCACCAUCACGGAACAAGAUGAGCAAUCAGUCGAACGGAAAGAGCCAUCAAUCGGGAGUGGAACACUGUUCGUCACCCGGGAUUAAGACACCGUGGAGCUUAGCUUCUUUACGACCGGCGCCGCCUCUGUAUUCGCUCAAGAUUUAUGGGAAAAGUGAUAGCGCAGAAUCCGUCAGGAGUCCACGUACGCUUAACGAACGGCAGUUCGAGGAUGAUGCGAUAAUUUUGAAGGUCAUCGAAGGUUAUUGUCUGAAGGUCAAUGCCAGGUUUACUGUGCAUUCUG